rnacentral:rRNA from 1 species
GGACCUGACUGCUAUCGGAUUGAUACUAAGCCAUGCGAGUCGUUGUAGCAAUACAAGGCAUACGGCUCAGUAACGCGUAGUCAACCUAACCUAUGGACGGGAAUAACCUCGGGAAACUGAGAAUAAUGCCCGAUAGAACAUUAUGCCUGGAAUGGUUUAUGUUCCAAAUGAUUUAUCGCCAUAGGAUGGGACUGCGGCCUAUCAGUUUGUUGGUGAGGUAAUGGCCCACCAAGACUAUUACAGGUACGGGCUCUGAGAGGAGUAGCCCGGAGAUGGGUACUGAGACACGGACCCAGGCCCUAUGGGGCGCAGCAGGCGAGAAAACUUUGCAAUGUGCGAAAGCACGACAAGGUUAAUCCGAGUGAUUUCUGCUAAAGAGAUCUUUUGUUAGUCCUAGAAACACUAACGAAUAAGGGGUGGGCAAGUUCUGGUGUCAGCCGCCGCGGUAAAACCAGCACCUCAAGUGGUCAGGAUGAUUAUUGGGCCUAAAGCAUCCGUAGCCGGCUCUGUAAGUUUUCGGUUAAAUCUGUACGCUCAACGUACAGGCUGCCGGGAAUACUGCAGAACUAGGGAGUGGGAGAGGUAGACGGUACUCGGUAGGAAGUGGUAAAAUGCUUUGAUCUAUCGAUGACCACCUGUGGCGAAGGCGGUCUACCAGAACACGUCCGACGGUGAGGGAUGAAAGCUGGGGGAGCAAACCGGAUUAGAUACCCGGGUAGUCCCAGCUGUAAACUAUGCAAACUCAGUGAUGCAUUGGCUUGUGGCCAAUGCAGUGCUGCAGGGAAGCCGUUAAGUUUGCCGCCUGGGAAGUACGUACGCAAGUAUGAAACUUAAAGGAAUUGGCGGGGGAGCACCACAAGGGGUGAAGCCUGCGGUUCAAUUGGAUUCAACGCCGGG